rnacentral:lncRNA from 1 species
CUACAUAACAAUAUGUGAUAACACCAAAUUAUUUCUUUUAAGAUCUUUGAUUUUAUGCGUUUUCAGUCGAACAGAGUAUAAUAGCAUGGAGAACUUACGAUUUCUGACUUGUUUCCGCAUAGAGCAUGCUGUAUUUACAUAAACCAAACAAUAUUACCCCUUCGAGACAACUUCAAAAUCUCUUUCGAUGCAUGAUUUAAAGUACUUCAAAAUUUUUUCCUUGUAAAAUGUAAAUGCAUCGAAACAGCUGUAAAAUUGUAUAUGUCAGCUACAUAAACCGUGAAAUACAAUUCAUAAAUGUGCUGCAUAAACAAUGAAUCAUACAUAGAUCCAAAGAGUAACAUUAAUAAUAAUGGCAAAAAUACUCUUCACACUGACUAAAAGCCAAAAAGCGCACUGAACGUGGUCAUUCUUUAUCUCGUUUAAGCCUUACAACAUCCCUAUAAGGGAAGAACAAGUAUCAUCUUCUCUGCACAGACAAAUAAAGGCUUAGAGCAAAGGCUUCUCAGCCUUGGCCCUACUGACCCUUGGGCCAGAUAUUCUUCGUUCCGGUGAGGACACUCCGUGUGUUGUAAGGUGGGUAACAACAUCCUUGACCGCUAUCUACCAGAUGCCAGAGGAGACCCCACUCCCAGAUGUGACAACCAAACAUGUCUGCAGGGGAGCUCCCGCUGUGGUGCAGCAGAAACAAAUCCAACCAGUAACCAGGAGGUUUCAGGUUUGCAGAAACAAAUCCAACCAGUUCGCAGAAACAAAUCCAACCAGUAACCAUGAGGUUUCAGGUUCGCAGAAACAAAUCCAACCAGUAACCAUGAGGUUUCAGGUUCGAUCCCUGGCCUCACUCAGUGGGUGAUGGAUCCAGCAUUGCCAUGAGCUGUGGUAUGGGUUGUGAAUGCGGUUCGGAUCCCACGUUGCUGUCACUGUGGUGUAAGCCGGUGACUGUAGCUCUGAUUUGACCCUUAUCCUGGGACCCUCCAUAUGACGCGAAUGCAAGAAAUUAAGGGAUUUACUAGAGGUUGUACACUUAAGAAUUAGUAGGUCAGGGAUUAGAAGCCAGGCCUGCUGAUUCUAGAAUGUACACCUUCAACCAAUAAAACACAGUGCUAUUCACUCUGUGAUAGUUCCGAGGACAUUAAUUUUCCCUCAAGAUAGAAAACUAAACAUGAAGAUGAACCAUGAGUGUCUUCCUGUGGAAAGAUCUUCCAUGACCACACCAGGCUGGGCCCUUCCAAGUUUUUUUUUUUUUUCCCUAAUUAAGGUCCAUGUUCCAGUGGCUGUUGACCUUGCAUAGGGCUCCCCACCUCACCUAUUCCAACUUUCUUUCUAAAAGCUGCUCCCCAGUCACUUAGUUAAGGCUGAUUCCAUUCUUCAGUAAAUAAGACACAGGCCCCGCCCCUAAAGAGCAGGGCCAACGGCUUCCUACCAAUUCCCUUACAUGCCACGGCUCUGUCUCAAAGUGCAAACCCUUUGCAUAGUGACCACUGGAUGCUGGUUUUUCUCUGAGGGAUCCUCGAGCCAUCAGCGACUAAACACUUUGCAUGUGCCAAAGACUCCCUAUGUGCUUCACAUAUACUAUUUCAUCCUGGGCUCCCAAGAACCCAAGGAGGUAUGCAUUUUUAUUUCCAUUUGACCCAGAGGAAGAGGUUCCUGCAAGCAGGGAACUUAGCCAAGCCUGACAACAAGAUCUGUACCAGGACUCAUAUUUCAAUCAAGGAAUGGAUGACUCUGAACCCCUUGCUCUUGACCCAACCCUCUGCCCUUUUCAUUUCAUGGAUGAGCAAAGACUACAGACGUGUCUCUUCCAAAGCAUGUUCUUGGCUUAAUCUACUCCCUCCAGCUUGCUUAGAAAUGUUCACGUAGGCCCCCCUCUCACCCAAGUUAUGGGAAUAAAUAAUACAGAGCAGAGCGUGGUUCUACUCGUGCAGAGCCGAAGGGGAAAAGUCAGGCAGUGACCUCAUGAACUUCAAAAAGGCAUUACCAUAUUCAAUCAGAGGAUAGAAAAAUACAGGGCAAGUUUUCCUUUAUCUGAUCCUAUCUUUGUUAUUUACUUUUUAUGCAUAAAGAGUUGUGUAUUCAUGUAUGACUGAUUAUAUCGCUUCAAAGCACUUUAAGCGGUAAGUACUAAAAUAGAAAAAAGAAAAAACAAAGAAACCUGAUGGUAGAGGUGAAGGAUUUUUCCUGUUUCAAUCACAUUAUUUAAAUAUAGCUUGUUGGGUUUGGGGUUUUUUUGGGGGGGGGUUUGUUUGGUUGGUUUGUUUUGGUUUUUUUGUCUUCAUUGAGCUUUCCUGAGAACUUCAACUUUGAGGUUGAAGCCAAAUAUGAAAAUUUUCAAAUGUCUAAUGUUUUGAUGAGAAAAGAAAAACUGGCAGAGUAGGGAAAUGAACUCCAACAGGCAUAUUUUUCUGAUGCUUUGAUUUUAUUCAGCUUUAAGCUGCUUCAUUUAGGGGCACAGGUGGGGAGGGGUUCCAUGGUUGUAAAAAAAAAAAAAUGAUAAAACCACAAGGAUGGAAAAAAACCCAGGAAGUUUUUGGCAUCUCAAGAGUCUGCCUUUAAACCCUGGCUCAACAUUUCUCUACUUUGUGACGUCAGUCAAGUUACAAAUAUUCCCAAAGGUCUUAAUCUAUAAAGAACUUCAUCAGUAAAAGAAACUCUGAUUGCUGUGAAGAUUAAAUAAGAUCAUGCACCUGAAGCACCUGCCACAUGAUGGACCCACAAUAAAUGUAACAGAGUGCCCUUUAGACAUAUUUGUCAAAGUUUAUGUUUUAGCAAUUGUCCCUUUAAUGUCCUUCUCAUGAUUAGUUCACACUACUAUUCAGGCGAAAUCAGAAGUAUCUAAAUCCUAGGUGAUCUGGCUGAUGGCCAAAGGACCAUCACUAUGGGGUCAGACUGUGUCACCUGCCCAGUGACCUCUGUGCUAACUGGCAAUGUUCCUUUUCUCCAAUGAUUUAGUUACAGGUCAAAGAGUGGUUGUCAUCACUGCAAAUGCCAUUUGAUGGUCUGGGCUUCCUUGUAGAAACCCUCAGUAAUUAGAAUUAGAGAAUACCAUUUUUGAGCCAAAAAGGAACCAUAGAAAGUCUUAUGUUCAAUCUCCUCUCUUUACAUAUGAGGACACUGAGAUAAGGAGGGAGUAAACUGCAAAUACAAACUGGUAACAGAAUUGAAAUGUGACUCAAUCUUUUGUCUACACCAGUGGUUCUCAACCAGAGGUGACUAUGUCCCCCCACACACAAGGGACAUUUUUUGUUGUCACAACUAGGGAAAGGAGGUUUACUAUUGGUAUCCAGUGAGUAGAGGCUGGGGAUGUUACUAAACAUCCCACCAUGCACAGGAAAGCCCCUACAAUGAAACCAUCAAUAGUACCAAGGUUAAGAAACUUUGAUCUAGGAGUUCCCAUUGUGGCGUAGUGGAAACAAAUCCAACUGGUAUCCAUGAGGAUUAGGGUUUGAUCCCUGGCGUCUCUCAGUGGGUUGGGGAUCCGGUGUUGCCAUGAGCUGUGGUUUAGGUCGCAGACAUGGCUCGGACCCCAUGUUGCUGUGGCUGUGGUGCAGACCAGCAGCUGCAGCUCCAAUUCGACCCCUAGCCCAGGAACUUCCAAAUGCCGCAGAUGCAGCCCUAAAAAAAGGAAAGAAAAGAAAAGAAACUCUGAUCUAUACUAUUGGACCCAGUGUCCCCAGACACUUCAAAAGCUGCCUCUUCAGCUGCUGCUAUUAGACUUUGGACCGAGCCCCAAGCUGGAAGCCCUCACCAAUGACUGAAUCGAUCAGGUCAAUUCUGCCUCUUUAGUAUUGAAGACCACUGGGAUUAGGAGGGAUUUAGAGACUUGCCUACUCAGGCAACUGAAAGUCUGGGCUUAACUUCGGAAGCAGAGUAAUAUGCCCAGCAUGAGUGUUGCUAAAGUCUUAACGAGGUACUCAGGUCUUAGGCAAUCUAAGAAAAUGAUUCUCAAAGCUGUUUUGGCCAAACAUCACAAAACAGCCAAAUGACGCACACCACAUAGUUAUCAAGUAUUCAGAAUAAAGCAUCACCAACAAAUACAUCCGAUGCUGCACUAAACAUCUCCAGGAUUAAUGGUUUGAUGGAGGAGAUAACAGAGAUUCAAGCACUAAUGUAGAGCAAAAAUACUCUCAGAGUUUCUCCCCAAAGCUAGAGUUCCAUAUUAAAAGAACUUAAACAGAAAAGCAGAGUCAAUGAUCCAAGCAAUUGCAUAUUUUUUGGUUCUUGCCCAUGCAUGCCAUCUGGCUUGCUGACCUCAUAGGCCUCUACCCGGGCGGGUGUGAAGGCCAAACAGAGCUUGAAUGUGUGAAUAUGUGGUGAUCACAAGUAUGAGUCAUUUAUCAAUCUGAACUUAUCUACCUACAUUUCCACCUGGUAAUUCUGGCUUCUGACCCAUGAUAGAAAUAUAUGAAGAAUCCCUAUUGGAUUCGCUCAUAAAUUCAACUCACAUUUAGUAAAUAAAUACCACUUAUAUCCAAGUCACCAUGCUUUGGGGAAGCCUAUCCCCUACUCAAAAAAAAAAAAAAAAAUCCCAAUGAUGCCAAGAAGAAUGACAUAGACCCAACUAACUAGUUCUUGUACAUAGGACUAGAGCAGCGGUAACUGGGGAAACAAGCUUGCUCUCAGAGGGAAAGAUCUAAGAAGGCUUUUUGGAAAGAAAUGGUAUUUGAAUUGGAUAUGGAGAAAAACAUGGGACUUCAACAGGUAAAAAUGAGAACAUUGAAAAUAGGAGAAAGGUUAUAAAGGAAGAAGAGAGGAUAGAAAUUACAAGGCAAAUAGGACCAUCAGUGAGGAGUUGAGCUUGAUGGGAACUUAGGGAAUAACAGAGACAAGCAGGAAUGUUGAGUUGGAAGCAGAUAU